UCCCAGCUAGCUCAGUUGGUAGAGCAUCAGACUCUUAAUCAGUUGAAGAUUACAGGUAAAACAUGACUGUUAGGAG